rnacentral:rRNA from 1 species
GGACGGGUGAGUAAUGUCUGGGAAACUGCCUGAUGGAGGGGGAUAACUACUGGAAACGGUAGCUAAUACCGCAUAACGUCGCAAGACCAAAGAGGGGGACCUUCGGGCCUCUUGCCAUCAGAUGUGCCCAGAUGGGAUUAGCUAGUAGGUGGGGUAACGGCUCACCUAGGCGACGAUCCCUAGCUGGUCUGAGAGGAUGACCAGCCACACUGGAACUGAGACACGGUCCAGACUCCUACGGGAGGCAGCAUG